CCAAAUUUAAACAUGAGAAAAUGUGUUUUCCUUCAGCAUUUCAUUUUAAAUAAAUUAUUCAAGUUUGAUUGAUUUUCUUUAUUUUAUUGGUCGAGUUAAUGUUUGCAGGUCGAGUCGAACUCAUUUGGGAUAAUUUCUGAACCCAAAUUGCAUGCACCCCGCAAAUCAAGACCCUCUCAGAUUCAUCCCAACUCCCUUGUUACUUUCCCACAUUUGGCUCGACAAAACUUUCCUGCGUCACAUCUCAAUCACCUAAUUUCCUUCCCACACAUGUUCCCAGCUGAAUAGGAUCACAUCCCCUGUACCAAACUCUCGGAAUUCACUUCCCAGUCGCCCACCAGUCAUUUUUUUCAUAUCAUCUCCAUUUAAAAAUUCAAUAUUCCGAGUCGACCCCAAUUCCUUUUCUUCGCAUAUUCCUCCCAACGGCUUAUCUCCCCUUCAAGCCGUUCACGCUUCUUCCUCCCAUCUGCGUGUCUUCCCUCUUCCAAACCAAGCCAUCCUUUUCUUCCGGAUUUCUCCCAGCACUUUCCAAUCUUUCCGUGAUCCAUCCUCAUCCUCUUCACGCCAGUAAAUCUUCCACCUGCGAUCGAGUUCAUCUCUUCUUCAUCCCGUUCAAAAUCCAUGUCAUCAGAUUCAUGCUCUUCUCCUGUUUCGGAACCACUCCCAGCCGAAUCCAAACUCCCCUUAUCCAACGCCUUCCCAGCAUCCCAUCCAAGAUCCUCUCAACAUCCACUGUUUUCCCUUGUGUCGGAAUAGAGUCAAAAUACUGCUCCACGACCUCUGCCCUCUGCCCAUUCGCAGAUGAUUCUCCCUAGCUUCCAUAAUCUUCCCCUGCUUUGGAACAGAACCAGGAUCUUCUCAACGUCCCAGCCAUCUUCCGAAUUAAUCCUAACCAACUGCACGAACCAAGCCCUAUCCAAGCCCUUCCGUAUCUCCUCCGCGUUGAAGAAGCAUUAGCUUGUUCCAGAUCAGCUUGUAUCCCAGAUUUCCUUUCACAAAUCCAAACCAGUAGCAUCCAUCCACCGUCUGCAUGGAUCCGACUCCAUCCUUCCAGCUGCUCACCCGUGGAUCUAACUCAAAAGCCAUCCGGAUAUCCCGCUGCCAGGCAGGAUAGCAUCCCGAACAACCACCCAGUCGCUUCUUCUUCCGUUCAUCUUCAUCCCGUGAGCCAUAUCCUCCCUCCGGAUCACAUAUCCCAGCUGCCAUCCGAAUCCCCUGUUUCUUCGCGACCUCCUCCAUGUCCUUCCCGAACUCAUCAUCCCAAGGAAUAGAGCCGUCA
rnacentral:lncRNA from 1 species